rnacentral:snRNA from 1 species
CGACUUACCUAGCAGGGUACCUAGAUCACGAAGGAGGUUCCCCCAGGCCAAGGCUCGGCCAUUGAUGACCCCUGCGCGAAUUUCACAAACGUAGAAAUCUCGACUGCAUAAUUAGUGGAAGUGGCGCACUGCGUCCACAAUCUCCCC